CCCUAGCCCCGAGUGGAGUGAAAAGCCAAGAGUCUCGUUGACUUAAAUUUUUUGUGUUUCCAAAGCGACUGAAAGAAGCUCUUGCAGACACUUAAAAAUUUUGUCAACGAGACGAGGACUUGUAACGGAAAGCGGGAAUUAGC
rnacentral:sRNA from 1 species